CCGCCUCGCAUCAUGAUGUUGCUUCCGCGCCGCACGCGUAUCGCCGCACACGCGGCGAGAAGAGUUCACAGCUCACGUUUUUAUCAUCAAACAGUUUCGUCGUCGUUGGUUAGGCAGGCAGGUAAUGGGAGGCAGACAAUAAUAAGGCAUUAAGUGCACGAGCUAAAGGUAUAUGUUUUUGUUGUUUCGACGACGACUUGAUAUGGACGAACGAGGAAGAAGCACAAGAGAGCGCGAGUAAACGAGUGCGCGCGGGUUUUUCGUUCGGUUUAGAAGAUGCGAGAGAACAAUCCCCCAGCAGACAAGGUGGGUCGCGAAGUGUGAGCGAGACGGCACCACUCAAGGGUGGGGGAAUUGUGUAAAACCGUGCAAAAAUCUAGAGGAAGCUUCAGUUACAUUCAUAGAUUUACUUAAGAUCGGUUCGGUUCCUGAAGUCCUCUUCCCCCAGUUUUGUGUAUUGUGUGUUCACGGUGUGUUAUCAUCAUCAACAUCGGUCAAUCUGAGAAUCCGUUCAAGCGGUGUGGCGUAGGAAUAUUCGCUCGCAGACAGAACUGAGACCUAAGUGUCUUUCAAACUCGGUGUGACUCGGGACCCACAAUUCGAACAGAAUCCGGAACUUCCCGGGCCAAAUCGGGAAUCGAAGGGAAAACAGUAUUGAAAGUGCUCCAGCGGGAGGCGAGCGUGUAUUGUUGUGUGGCGAGGCGCGAGUGAUCUUCUGACUCUCCUUUUUCGCGGUGGCUGGUUCCACCACUCAAGGAAGAACAAGGAGUUCACCCACGAAAACAGCAAGGAGAAAUUAAAGUCGAAUUUUUCGGUUUACGUUUGGUGCGUGUCUCUGCGUAGGCAGCAGAACGAAAACAGUGCAAAAGUACGGCCCAACUCAAUCAACAGGAUUUCCACACGUCUUCUUUCAUUAAAAAAAAAAUAAAGUCGAGGAAAUUGUUUGUGUGACUUGUGGUGGCAGUGAGUGAAGUGAGCCAACAGGAAGAAUUCCAAUCCUGAGCAAUAAAGGAAAAGAACGGUGCGUGUGAGUUCAAGGAUAAUAAUUACAUAAUUUUCCGGGAUAAGCAGAAAGCAGAGCAAGCAGAGUAGGCCCUGAUUUACAAGAAGGAGUCGAAAACAGCGUGAAGGAUUCCACUCUCAACAACAGGUAAAGCAAAACAAUCAAACCGCAACCAUCAAAACAGUAAGUGCUACCAGUCAAUCCGCGUGACCACCGUGCAUUUCAAUCAACGCCUAUCAUUACCAUCUCGAUAGCCAAAGGUCAACCCACCACAUACCUGCUGAAGUGCAGCGCCGCCGCACUACCUUAGCCAAGUCUAGGCGACAUUGCUUGCGCAAAACAUGCCUUCGGGGCAAUAUGCGUGGUUGGUGGUGUUUCACAGAAAUGACCGUUUUUACGGUGUAUAUGUCAUCAGCUGUACAUAUGUACCUGCGCUGCCGUAACCGAGCCCACAUUCCACACCUUGCUUGGUGCAUCGGAUGGGAGCAUUUCUAUAAGGUUGUCGUCAUUCAUGAUGCACUCGGCGAUCGACGCAGCGUUGCUUUCAUCAGUUUUUCAUUUGCAAUGAUUUGUUGUCUUGUGAUCCCGAUCAGAAGAAAAUAACACACGAUCUUACCUAGUUGGGUUGUUGAUGUUGAUACCAAAACCUGUUAGAACUUGGUAGUUAAAAUAACAAAAAUCAACAUGAAUUGCAUGGGUACAGUAGUCGUUCGAUAACUGCAACAUGUUUAUGUUUCACUUACCGAAUGAAAUUCGAUAGCUGCAACAACUGACAGACGUCAAAGAACUGUCAGUUGCUGCAGAAUGCAGUCAAUGUGCAAUCGGAAAACAUCGCAUCGCUGAAAAAGUGCAUGCAAAAAACAUCGCAUCGCUGGUUGUACUUCAAAUCGUAAGCAGAGUACAUAGAGGCAAAUAAAUGACAUCAGCGUCCUCUGCAAAUGACCAUUCUACCUAUGGCACGGCAGGUACGACGGUACUCUGUGUCCAAGAAAGUUCCUCAAAUGUUCUGUUCGAUGUUUUUUUUUUUGAAUUCCAGUGACGACGCAAUACAAUUCGCAGACAGAUACUGGCACAUGCUCCGGAAAAUUCGGAACCAAUGCAAUUUGCUACAGGCAAGCUGGGCUAAACUAGAGAAAUCGCGUAGUAAAGCUCGAAUUCCGAAGAAGCUGGAGGGGCUCCUGCAAGAAUCACUGAAAAAAAAAGUUCCUGGGAGAAUCCCUCAAGGAGAUUCUGAGGGGAAUUCUCUGAAAACUUAUGAGGAAUCACUGAAGGAACUUCAGCAGACAUUGCAUAAGGAACUCCUGAAAAAAAAGACCCUGAAGGAGUUCCUGGAAUAGGUUCCUUCAAGAUUUCCAGGAAAAAUUCAAGAAGGGUUCCUGGUGAAAUUCCAGAAAGGGCUCAUAAAAAAACUGCAGGAUAUCCUGAAAAAAAAAACUAUGAUUAGGUUUGGGAAAAAUCCAUGAAGGGGUGUUUGUGCAAAUGUAUUGCCCCACCGAUGUAUAUAAUAUGAUAGUAUAUCCAUGUAUUGUGUCCCUAUCUGUAUGUAAUUCAAUAAAUAAAGAUUAGUGUUAUCUAUACCUCCGCCAUGGCCGGACGGUUGACCAAAGAUCGUUUAAUCAAAUUAUCCAAUCACACAACGUAGGAAAGAAAUAUCCCGUGCGCGAUCAAGGGGUUUCUAGAGAAAUCCCAAAAGGAAAUCGUGAAACAGUUGCUGAAGGAAUUUCAAGAGGAAUCAAUAAAGGAGUCCCUGGAGAAAUCUUUGAAGGAAUUCUUGGGAAAAUUUGUCUCCAACAAUUUCAGGAGAAAUUCCAGGAGAAGUUCCUGAAGAUUUUCUGAAAGAAUCUCUGAAAAACCAUUGAAGGAGUUCCUAGCGGAAUUCCUGAAAGAAUUUCUGGAAAAAUGUCUCCUGCAAUUACAAGAGAAAAUUCUACAGCUACUUCAGGAGAAAUCUCUUAAGAAAUUCAAAUCUCUAAAGAAUUCCGAACAGAAGUUCCUGGUAGAAUAAAAAAAAAUCCUGGAGGAAUCCUCGAAGCACUUGAAACCCCUGAAGGAUUCCUAGACCAGUAUCAACAGAAAUACAAAAAAAAUCCUGAAGGAACUCCAGGUGAAAUCCCUCGAAGAAUUCUAGAAGGAUUUUUUAAGGUAUUUCUCAGAAAAAUCCUCAAGAAAAUUCCUGGAAAUCGAACAAGGAAUUCUUGGGGAAAUUUGUCUCCAGAAAUUUCAGGAGAAAUUCCAAAAUCCAAGAGGAAUCCCCGAAGAAUUUCUGAAAAAUUUCUGAAGCAGCUCUUGAUGGAGUUCCUAGAGGAAUUCCCGAAAGAAUUUUCUGAAAAAAUGUGUCUUCAAUAACAAGAGAAAGUUCUCCAGCAACUUCAGGAGAAAUUUCUUAAGGAAUUCAAAGCUCUGAAGAAUUCCGAUCAGAAGUUUCUGGAGGAAUCGCUAAAAAAAUCCUGGAGGAAUACCCGAAAAAAAGCCUGGAGAAAUCCCCGAAGCACUUCCUGGUGAAUGCUUGAAAAAACUCCUGGAGAAACCCCUGAAGGAUUGCUAGAGGAGUA